rnacentral:rRNA from 1 species
AAUCAACGCUGGCGGCGUGCCUCAGACAUGCAAGUCGAACGCGAAAGUCUCCUUCGGGAGGCAAGUAGAGUGGCGCACGGGUGAGUAACACGUAGGUAAUCUACCUUUGGAUGGGGAAUAACAACCGGAAAUGGUUGCUAAUACCGCAUAAUGCAGCGGCACCUAAUGGUGACAGUUGUUAAAGCGGGGGAUCGAAAGACCUCGCGUCUGAAGAGGAGCCUGCGGCGGAUAGCUAGUUGGUAAGGUAAUGGCUUACCAAGGCUACGAUCCGUAACCGGCCUGAGAGGGCGGUCGGUCACACUGACACUGACAUACGGGUCAGACUCCUACGGGAGGCAGCAGUCGGGAAUUUUGGGCAAUGGGCGAAAGCCUGACCCAGCAACGCCGCGUGAAGGAUGAAAUCCCUGGGAUGUAAACUUCGCAAGAACGGGAAGAAUAAGCGAGAGUUAAUAUCUUUCGUGGUGACGGUACCGUUUGUAAGCUCCGGCUAACUCGUGCC